rnacentral:rRNA from 1 species
GAGUUUGAUCGUGGCUCAGAUUGAACGCUGGCGGCAGGCCUAACACAUGCAAGUCGAGCGGAUGAAGGGAGCUUGCUCCUGGAUUCAGCGGCGGACGGGUGAGUAAUGCCUAGGAAUCUGCCUGGGUAGUGGGGAGUAGCGUCCGGAAACGGGCGCUAAUACCGCAUACGUCCUGAGGGAGAAAGUGGGGAGUCUUCGGACCUCACGCUAUCAGAUGAGCCUAGGUCGGAUUAGCUAGUUGGUGGGGUAAAGGCCUACCAAGGCGACGAUCCGUAACUGGUCUGAGAGGAUGAUCAGUCACACUGGAACUGAGACACGGUCCAGACUCCUACGGGAGGCAGCAGUGGGGAAUAUUGGACAAUGGGCGGAAAGCCUGAUCCAGCCAUGCCGCGUGUGUGAAGAAGGUCUUCGGAUUGUAAAGCACUUUAAGUUGGGAGGAAGGGCAGUAAGUUAAUACCUUGCUGUUUGACGUUACCAACAGAAUAAGCACCGGCUAG